UUUUCUGUCAGGCGUUUAUGUUCUGUAAAACUCGUGACGUAGCACUCCCUAUAAAACGGGCGUCGCCGGGAUAUGACGUUCUUCGGGGACACGGUGCUUUAGCGGUUGCCUUCCCUGUCCGACAUGAGAGCUAAGUGGCGAAAGAAGCGCAUGCGCAGGCUGAAGCGCAAAAGGAGAAAGAUGAGGCAGAGGUCCAAGUAAAAUGUGUCUCUGUCUCUGCUGUGACGUCAUCCAUUGCCAUCAGCUUGGCCGACGAGCACAGCCGGAGACCCAGGACCCUCCCAGUGUGGAGUCUGAGACCAGUGGUGUCCAAAUCAACCUGAUGCAGCGCAGCAGCAGCUGUUUGAUGCCACCAAGCUGAUCCAAGACCCGCAAUGUGUCAGACUUUUUCUCUGGGACAUUCUGGACUCUUUGUUCCUCAACUUUUAUCAUUUGUUUUUUUGUUUAUCCUGUGAUUAAAAGGUUUUGGUUUAAAAAAAGAAAA